rnacentral:rRNA from 1 species
CCUACGGGAGGCUGCAGUGAGGAAUAUUGGUCAAUGGGCGCGAGCCUGAACCAGCCAAGUCGCGUGAGGGAAGACUGCCCUAUGGGUUGUAAACCUCUUUUAUUCGGGAGGAAUAGGCCUUACGCGUGGGGUUAUGCCUGUACCCAAUGAAUAAGCAUCGGCUAACUCCGUGCCAGCAGCCGCGGUAAUACGGAGGAUGCGAGCGUUAUCCGGAUUUAUUGGGUUUAAAGGGUGCGUAGGCGGCCUGUUAAGUUAGUGGUUAAAUGGCGGGGCUAAACCCCGGAGUGCCAUUAAAACUGGGGGGCUUGAGUACAGACGAGGUAGGCGGAAUACGUGAAGUAGCGGUGAAAUGCUUAGAUAUGACGUAGAACUCCGAUAGCGAAGGCAGCAUACCAGGCUGCGACUGACGCUGAAGCACGAGAGUGUGGGUAGCGAACAGGAUUAGAUACCCUUGUAGUC